UACCCAACAACUAGCCUCAAACCAAACCCAACAAAACACUAUUAAUAACCCCUAAAACCCUAUAAAUAUAAAACAAACCAUUUUUCCCCCCUAGUAUGGGCGACAGAAAAGGAACGUCUAAGAGCAAUAGAUAAAGUACCGCAAGGGAACGUUGAAAGAGAAAUGAAACAAAUCAGUAAAGUAAGAAAAAGCAGAGACUAAUCCUCGUACCUUUUGCAUCAUGAUUUAGCUAGAAAAUUUCAAGCAAAGAGCACUUUAGUUUGCCUUCCCGAAACUAAGUGAGCUACUCCAAGACAGCCUAAAAUAGGGCCAACCCGUCUCUGUGGCAAAAGAGUGGGAAGAGCUUAGAGUAGAGGUGACAGACCUACCGAACUUAGUUAUAGCUGGUUGCCUGAGAAAUGAAUAGAAGUUCAGCUUUUUGGUUCCUCCUUUCAACUUUAUUUAUUUAAACUGAUUCAAAAGAACCAAAGAAGUUAGUUAAAGGAGGUACAGCUCCUUUAAAUAAAGAUACAACUUUUUCAGAUGGAUAAAGAUCAUAAUAACUAAAGGAUAAGUGUUUUAGUGGGCCUAAAAGCAGCCAUCUACAAGAAAGCGUUAAAGCUCAGACACACCCCCUCAUCCAUUAAUUCAGAUAAAAUAUCUUAUUCCCCUAGUAAUAUCAGGCCGCUCCAUAUCAUUAUGGAGGUGAUAAUGCUAAUAUGAGUAAUAAGAGAGUAAGACUCUCUCCACGCACACGUGUAUAUCGAAACGGACACUCCACCGAAAAUUACCGGCCCCAAACAAAGAGGGAAUUGAAUGAUAAAUUAAACAACAAGAAGACCAUUCAACAAUAACCGUUAACCCCACACUGGUGUGCUAAAAAGGAAAGACUAAAAGAAAAAGAAGGAACUCGGCAAACAUAAGCCUCGCCUGUUUACCAAAAACAUCGCCUCUUGCAAAAACUAAGAAUAAGAGGUCCCGCCUGCCCUGUGACAAAAAGUUUAACGGCCGCGGUAUUUUGACCGUGCAAAGGUAGCGCAAUCACUUGUCUUUUAAAUGAAGACCUGUAUGAAUGGCACGACGAGGGCUUGACUGUCUCCUUUUUCUAGUCAAUGAAAUUGAUCUCCCCGUGCAGAAGCGGGGAUAAGAACAUAAGACGAGAAGACCCUAUGGAGCUUUAGACACCAAAACAGAUCUUGUUAAAUAACCCCAAAUAAAGGAAAAAACCAAAAGAACAACUGUCCUAAUGUCUUUGGUUGGGGCGACCGCGGGGAAACAAACAACCCCCACGUGGACCGAGAGCAUACUCUUACAGCUAAGAGACACUACUCUAAGCAACAGAAAUUCUGACCAUUAGAUCCGGCAAUGCCGAUCAACGGACCGAGUUACCCUAGGGAUAACAGCGCAAUCCUCUUUUAGAGUCCAUAUCGACAAGAGGGUUUACGACCUCGAUGUUGGAUCAGGACAUCCUAAUGGUGCAGCCGCUAUUAAGGGUUCGUUUGUUCAACGAUUAAAGUCCUACGUGAUCUGAGUUCAGACCGGAGUAAUCCAGGUCAGUUUCUAUCUAUGCUAUGAUCUUUUCUAGUACGAAAGGACCGAAAAGAAGGGGCCAAUACUGAAAGCACGCCCCACCCCUACCUAAUGAAGACAACUUAAUUAGGCAAGGGGGCAUACCUCUUUGCCUAAGAAAAUGGCAU
rnacentral:rRNA from 1 species